ACCCCGCACAAGCGGUGGAUCAUGUUGUUUAAUUUCGAUGAUACGCGAAGAACCUUACCAGGUCUUGACAUCCCCCGCGAUGCUUUAGAGAUAAAGCGGAGGUAUUCGGGGAGACAGGUGGUGCAUGGUUGUCGUCAGCUCGUGUCGUGAGAUGUUGGGUUAAGUCCCGCAACGAGCGCAACCCCUAUUGCUAGUUACCAUCAUUAAGUUGGGGACUCUAGCGAGACUGCCAGUGAUAAACUGGAGGAAGGUGGGGAUGACGUCAAAUCAUCAUGCCCCUUAUGACCUGGGCUACAAACGUAAUACAAUGGCUGGAACAAAGGGAUGCGAAGCAGUGAUGUGGAGCGAAACCCAUAAAAACAGUCUCAGUUCGGAUUGAAGUCUGCAACUCGACUUCAUGAAGUCGGAAUCGCUAGUAAUCGCGGAUCAGAACGCCGCGGUGAAUACGUUCUCGGGGUUU
rnacentral:rRNA from 1 species